rnacentral:rRNA from 1 species
AACGAACGCUGGCGGCAGGCUUAACACAUGCAAGUCGAACGCACCUUUCGGGGUGAGUGGCAGACGGGUGAGUAACGCGUGGGAAUCUACCCUUCUCUACGGGAUAGCUCCGGGAAACUGGAAUUAAUACCGUAUACGUCCUGAGGGAGAAAGAUUUAUCGGGGAAGGAUGAGCCCGCGUUGGAUUAGCUAGUUGGUGGGGUAAAGGCCUACCAAGGCGACGAUCCAUAGCUGGUCUAGGAGGAUGAUCAGCCACAUUGGGACUGAGACACGGCCCAAACUCCUACGGGAGGCAGCAGUGGGGAAUAUUGGACAAUGGGCGCGAGCCUGAUCCAGCCAUGCCGCGUGAGUGAUGAAGGCCCUAGGGUUGUAAAGCUCUUUCAGUGGGGACGAUAAUGACGGUACCCGCAGAAGAAGCCCCGGCUAACUUCGUG